rnacentral:rRNA from 1 species
CGCUCUUUGAUAAAUAUUAUGAUAUAUAAAGAGUACUGCCUGCCCAGUGACAUUCGUUAAACGGCCGCGGUAUCUUGACCGUGCGAAGGUAGCAUAAUCACUUGCCUUUUAAAUGGAGGCUGGUAUGAAUGGCAAGACGGAAAUCAGACUGUCUCCCUUUUAAUACUCUCGAAAUUAAUAUCCCCGUGAAGAAGCAGGGAUAAGGUCGUUGGACGAGAAGACCCUAUCGAGUUUUAGUAUAAGUAAUUUUAAAUUGAGAAAUUGUAAACUAGGGCUGAUUAAGCCUCAAACUUAAUAAUUUCACCUUAAGAAGCAAAACAAUUCUAAAAUUGUUACUUUAAUUGGGGCAAUUACGGAGAAAAGAUAUCCUCCGCUAUGAAACUAAAUCAAAAAACUACUAUUUUAGCAUAAUACAUUUACAGCAAAGUGAUCCACUUUCUUAGUGAACAAAGGAACAAACUACCGUAGGGAUAACAGCGUAAUCCUUUUGAAGAGUCCAUAUUGAUAAAAGGGUUUGCGACCUCGAUGUUGGAUCGGGGCUUCCUGGAAAUGCAGAAGUUUCCAAGGGUUGGUCUGUUCGACCAUUAAAGUCCU